CGAGUAGGACUACUAUAGGCUACAUAGCGCAUUCAUUUAGCAAUUUGUGGCUGUUGUGGAUAGCUGUUCACAAAUGUAUUUUAACCCAAUAAUGGUUUAAACUGAAGAAAUGUAAGCUGCCAAUCAUUGUUUUUGCGACCAGGGGUGUCGCCUAUUCAUUAAGGAAACCAUUUACCGUUUAAGAACCAAACGGAAGAAAAUAGCGCAAAACGAGAGUUUCUAUUGGACAAAUGCAGGCCACUGGUCCAUGACUAACUUCCAGUGCCCCCGGUCCAAACUGGCUGUUUCUCUGUGCUCUCUGUCUGCCUUAUUUGUGAAUUAACGUCCUACUUUCCUCCCUGUAAGUACCCAUAAUGUCUUCAUCUAAAGCUGUUACAUCAUCAGUAGUCAUCAGGGAAGCCCUAUGGUUGAUACAGUAUGUUUGAGCUCAAUUA
rnacentral:lncRNA from 1 species